GACACAGCCCCUCCGUGCCCACACCAACCAAGCCCGCACGAGACGAGCCCCGAGACCGAGACGUCUCGCCCUCGCCUUCUUCCUCCCCUCCCCUCCCCGACCGCUGCCGCCCGCGACCUCUCGCCGAAACCCUAACCUACCUUAGACCCCGCCGCGCCGCGCCGCCCAAGGAAGGAGGGAGGGGGAGGGAGACCCACGCAUCAAAGGGCGUCCGAUGGGGAAGAAGAAGAAGCGCGUCGACAAGGUCUUCUGCUACUACUGCGACCGCGAGUUCGACGACGAGAAGAUCCUCGUCCAGCACCAGAAGGCCAAGCACUUCAAGUGCCACGUCUGCCACAAGAAGCUCUCCACCGCCUCGGGCAUGUCCAUACACGUCCUCCAGGUCCACAAGGAGUCCGUGACCAAGGUUCCUAAUGCAAAGCCUGAUAGGGAGUCAACGGAGAUAGAGAUAUUUGGAAUGCAGGGAAUUCCUGCACAUGUAUUGGCUGCCCAUUAUGGAGAAGAGGAAGAUCCUUCAGCAAAGAUGGCCAAAGUAGAAGUGCCACAGGUAAGGCCUGUUAUUAUGCCUAAUUCGCUAGGCAUGGCAUUUCCUCCGCGACCAGCUUAUGGUGUAGCACCUCCAAUCUAUAAUCCUGCACUUAAUCCUUUGAUGGCCCGUCCUCCAAUUUGGCCUGGUCCACCAGCACAAGCUUGGUAUCCACAACAAGCAGCAUAUCCACAACAACCAGCAGUUUCAGUUCCUCCAGUAGUUGCUGGGCUCCCACCACAACAACCACUAUUUCCUAUUCAGAAUGUGCCUACUCCUAUGACAUCAGCACCUGCUAAUGUACUUCAAACAUCGUUUCCUAUGGCCCCUCCAGGAGUACCGUCACCUGUUGCUCCUCAGGUUUCCCAGCCUUUGUUUCCUGUUAACACUUCAGCUGUCAAUGGAGCUGCAAGUUCCCCAUUUUUAGCAUCUGUGGUACCUGGAACCAUCCCGGCAAGUUCUCCAGCAGCAGUUGGUGCUGCAGGAAUUGGAUAUGGAGCUAACAACCAAGGCACUGGAGGUCCAGCAGUUGGAUCCUCACCUGCAGUGUCCAACAAUAAGGCGUCCGGUGCCCAACCAGCUACGAAUGAGGUCUAUCUGGUGUGGGAUGAUGAAGCAAUGUCAAUGGAGGAAAGAAGGUUGGCGUUACCCAAGUAUCAGGUGCAUGAUGAAACUAGCCAGGUAAGUUGUGUUUUUUAUGUUUCUAUACUAUUAUUGUAGUUUAUCAAACAAAAGGGUUCGUCGCUCAAUCUGCAGUUGCUGAGCAAUAGCGAUAUUAUAUUUUGACGCGUCGAACCAAUUCUUACCUAAAGUGUAUGCAUGAUUGUAUCUUCUUUGGUGCUGUACUCAUAUGGGCAGUUCAUUGUAGGGGUACUAGGGUGAUAUCUGAUAUUAGCUGUUGCAGAAUUCAAAGGCAUUUUUGUUAUCCUGAACAUGGGUUUGAGCGGUGGCCUUCAUUGUUUGUUUUGGCCCACAACAUGCUUGGGACCAUAGAUUUUGUGUUGCGGAGUGGUGGUGGCUCCCCUCAGUUUGUUGCAUUUAGAAAUUUAGUGAUGCUAUGAACCGUGCAUUUUGCAUUAUAUACUUGUGCAUAAGAAGUGUGUGAACAUCUUGGAAGGUUUUUGCUACUCUUGACUUGUUUGUGAUAUAUGAACUUGCCCAUUUCUUUUCAUUGGUAUCUGCUAUGCACAUAAUUGAUGCAUUUGAUAGUAUACACAAUUCUUUUUAGCCAAUUACUUAAAUGCAAAUUAAAACAGUACCUCGUUUACAACCAAUUAUCUUGUGUUCCAUACUUCCAUGUAUACAAUUGCCCCUUUCAUUUUUAUUUAAAAUUUUAGCACGCUCACAAUGUACUGAAUUGUGAACUUGUCAAUGACUUGAGGGCAUGUAACUUGAAUGUUUUAGAGGAAUAUGAAAUAGUCUCAUCCAGUCAUAGCAUAUGUGAGUUUGAGACGGUUCAUAUUCUGUGCCACUUUACAUUUUCACAAUGUCUCUUGUGUUGAUUGGUCACCUAUAUCCUGCUGAUUUCGCGCACAUCAGGAGUUCCAAGUAGGUAUUUACAUCGUUCUUCCUACUAGUAAGUUUUCUAUAAUCUGACAAAUUUCGUGGUGCUAUGCUAAUGGCUUGAGGGUUAUCGGCCAAGCCCUGGACAGCUGGCAAAUAUCAAAAAUAGGUGGCUGAGGUUCUGCCAAUACGGUAGCAUUUAUUGUAGCUUAAGUUUGGUCGAGAAUGUGGCAAGAGUUUUGCUCCAGGUCAGCUUUCAUUUGGCCAGUGAGCCUGAGAAGCUCUGCUUGAAUCUUUGUUCCAGAGGCACCAACCAUAUCUAACACCAAGUUUGUUGUUUCACAAUUCCUAUGAACAGAUGAACUCUGUUGACGCAGCAAUUGAUCGAAGAAUAUCAGAGAGUCGGCUGGCAGGACGCAUGGCCCUAUGAAGAUGGGGGCUUUGCUUGGUAGAUUACCCACCCCCCUUGCAGUUCACCCAAGGACUCGCCUGUGCUUUUAUCGCUGUGCAGCAGUCGGACCUGUUCAUUUAGUUAGCGCAUGGAGUUGUUGCAGUUAAAAGGAAUGUUUUGUUUCUGACUUGUUGGAGUGUGGAGCCUUUGUUCUUCUAUGUUUCCAGCAGCGAGAAGAAAAUGAAUUGUAGCCCUUAGGAGUUAAUUUGGUCCAAUUGUCACCUCUGCACGAUUGUAACCUGGUGAUGUGUUAUUGCCAAUUGAAGCCUAAUGAUGUACAUUGUCUGGAAAGCAAACUUAAAAAUGUUACCGAUUUGAAUAUUUUUGUUCCUACAGUAUUUGAGUA